UCUUCUUCUUCUUCAUUUUCUUUUUUUUCAUUUGGCCAUGAGAAGUCAAGCUAAGCCGGAGCGCCGCCGCUCGCCGUUGCCGCCGCCGUGUGCCGCCGUGACCGCCGGCCAGCCGUUCCACCUUCCCGCUCUAGCCGAGUUAGUCUAGAGUCCGAGCCCCCGCCUGAAUGUCGAGAUUGAGGUCGACUCGGAGUCGUCGGGUGAGCAGACAGCUGCGGAGGAUUCAGGUGGUGAUGCCGAGGACAGUGAGUCAGAGUGGACGCCUUCGAGAGGGCGUAGGGGAUAGUUCUGGGAGGAGGAUGCGCCCCAUUUUUGGAUAGUGCUGACCUAGAGAGCUGAUCCUGAUAUUUUGGUGGUUUGGAGUUUAUAGUUCGGUGUGCUUAUAAAUUAUUUUGUGGUUUGUAUUGGCGGAUGAUGUAAAUAUUUGGAAGUGUAAUAUAUGCUUGGUGGUUUGAUGAUUUGUUC